GAAAUGCGAUAAGUAGUGUGAAUUGCAGAAUUCAGUGAAUCAUCGAAUCUUUGAACGCACAUUGCGCCCUUUGGUAUUCCUUAGGGCAUGCCUGUUCGAGCGUCAUUUUAACCCUCAAGCUCAGCUUGGUGAUGGGCGCCCGUCCCGCCCCCUCGGGGGCGCGGACCCGCCUCAAAUGCAUUGGCGGCCGGUUCCUUGGCUUCGAGCGCAGCAGAAACGCGGACUCGGGGCCUCGGGGCCGAUCCCCCAGAAGCUGAACCCCCCUUUUGACCUCGGAUCAGGUAGGGAUACCCGCUGAACUUAA
rnacentral:misc_RNA from 1 species